rnacentral:rRNA from 1 species
CACGUAGGGCGCAAGCGUUGUCCGGAAUUAUUGGGCGUAAAGAGCUCGUAGGCGGUCUGUUGCGUCCGCUGUGAAAACUCGGGGCUUAACCCCGAGCCUGCAGUGGAUACGGGCAGACUAGAGUGCGGUAGGGGAGAUUGGAAUUCCUGGUGUAGCGGUGGAAUGCGCAGAUAUCAGGAGGAACACCGAUGGCGAAGGCAGAUCUCUGGGCCGUAACUGACGCUGAGGAGCGAAAGCAUGGGGAGCGAACAGG